rnacentral:rRNA from 1 species
UACGUAGGGAGCAAGCGUUGUCCGGAAUCAUUGGGCGUAAAGCGCGCGUAGGCGGCCCCGUAAGUCCGCUGUGAAAGUCAAAGGCUCAACCUUUGAAAGCCGGUGGAUACUGUGGGGCUAGAGUACGGAAGAGGCGAGUGGAAUUCCUGGUGUAGCGGUGAAAUGCGCAGAUAUCAGGAGGAACACCAAUGGCGAAGGCAGCUCGCUGGGACGUGACUGACGCUGAGACGCGAAAGCGUGGGGAGCAAACAGG